GGAUUAGAUACCCUGGUAGUCCACGCCCUAAACGAUGUCAACUAGCCGUUGGAGGAAUUUAAUCCUUUAGUGGCGCAGCUAACGCGUUAAGUUGACCGCCUGGGGAGUACGGCCGCAAGGUUAAAACUCAAAGGAAUUGACGGGGGCCCGCACAAGCGGUGGAGCAUGUGGUUUAAUUCGAUGCAACGCGAAGAACCUUACCAGGCCUUGACAUCCUCGGAACUUUCUAGAGAUAGAUUGGUGCCUUCGGGAACCGAGUGACAGGUGCUGCAUGGCUGUCGUCAGCUCGUGUUG
rnacentral:rRNA from 1 species